rnacentral:rRNA from 1 species
GGUGACAGCCCCGUACACAAAAAUGCACAUGCUGUGAGCUCGAUGAGUAGGGCGGGACACGUGGUAUCCUGUCUGAAUAUGGGGGGACCAUCCUCCAAGGCUAAAUACUCCUGACUGACCGAUAGUGAACCAGUACCGUGAGGGAAAGGCGAAAAGAACCCCGGCGAGGGGAGUGAAAAAGAACCUGAAACCGUGUACGUACAAGCAGUGGGAGCCUCUUAAUGGGGUGACUGCGUACCUUUUGUAUAAUGGGUCAGCGACUUAUAUUCUGUAGCAAGGUUAACCGAAUAGGGGAGCCGAAGGGAAACCGAGUCUUAACUGGGCGUUAAGUUGCAGGGUAUAGACCCGAAACCCGGUGAUCUAGCCAUGGGCAGGUUGAAGGUUGGGUAACACUAACUGGAGGACCGAACCGACUAAUGUUGAAAAAUUAGCGGAUGACUUGUGGCUGGGGGUGAAAGGCCAAUCAAACCGGGAGAUAGCUGGUUCUCCCCGAAAGCUAUUUAGGUAGCGCCUCGUGAAUUCAUCUCCGGGGGUAGAGCACUGUUUCGGCAAGGGGGUCAUCCCGACUUACCAACCCGAUGCAAACUGCGAAUACCGGAGAAUGUUAUCACGGGAGACACACGGCGGGUGCUAACGUCCGUCGUGAAGAGGGAAACAACCCAGACCGCCAGCUAAGGUCCCAAAGUCAUGGUUAAGUGGGAAACGAUGUGGGAAGGCCCAGACAGCCAGGAUGUUGGCUUAGAAGCAGCCAUCAUUUAAAGAAAGCGUAAUAGCUCACUGGUCGAGUCGGCCUGCGCGGAAGAUGUAACGGGGCUAAACCAUGCACCGAAGCUGCGGCAGCGACACUAUGUGUUGUUGGGUAGGGGAGCGUUCUGUAAGCCUGUGAAGGUGGCCUGUGAGGGUUGCUGGAGGUAUCAGAAGUGCGAAUGCUGACAUAAGUAACGAUAAAGCGGGUGAAAAGCCCGCUCGCCGGAAGACCAAGGGUUCCUGUCCAACGUUAAUCGGGGCAGGGUGAGUCGACCCCUAAGGCGAGGCCGAAAGGCGUAGUCGAUGGGAAACAGGUUAAUAUUCCUGUACUUGGUGUUACUGCGAAGGGGGGACGGAGAAGGCUAUGUUGGCCGGGCGACGGUUGUCCCGGUU